AAGCACCGGCUAACUCCGUGCCAGCAGCCGCGGUAAUACGGAGGGUGCGAGCGUUAAUCGGAAUUACUGGGCGUAAAGCGCAUGCAGGUGGUUUGUUAAGUCAGAUGUGAAAGCCCGGGGCUCAACCUCGGAAUAGCAUUUGAAACUGGCAGACUAGAGUACUGUAGAGGGGGGUAGAAUUUCAGGUGUAGCGGUGAAAUGCGUAGAGAUCUGAAGGAAUACCGGUGGCGAAGGCGGCCCCCUGGACAGAUACUGACACUCAGAUGCGAAAGCGUGGGGAGCAAACAGGAUUAGAUACCCUGGUAGUCCACGCCGUAAACGAUGUCUACUUGGAGGUUGUGGCCUUGAGCCGUGGCUUUCGGAGCUAACGCGUUAAGUAGACCGCCUGGGGAGUACGGUCGCAAGAUUAAAACUCAAAUGAAUUGACGGGGGCCCGCACAAGCGGUGGAGCAUGUGGUUUAAUUCGAUGCAACGCGAAGAACCUUACCUACUCUUGACAUCCAGAGAACUUUCCAGAGAUGGAUUGGUGCCUUCGGGAACUCUGAGACAGGUGCUGCAUGGCUGUCGUCAGCUCGUGUUGUGAAAUGUUGGGUUAAGUCCCGCAACGAGCGCAACCCUUAUCCUUGUUUGC
rnacentral:rRNA from 1 species